rnacentral:tRNA from 1 species
UAGAAAGUAGUGUAUUGGAAGCACGGGGGUUUUUGAUGCCCCAAGGCAGGGUUCGAGCCCCUUCUCUCUA